CCCCCUCUCUCUGUUUUGCUCUUUCGCACUCUCUCUCUGUAAAGUGAUCAGUUUUGUCCUGCUUUGUGUUCCCACCAUUAUGUGCUGUCCUGGGAGGAGCAGCUGAUGGUGAGCAGGAGCCUCUGUCCUGGGAGGAGCAGCUGAUGGUGAGCAGGAGCCUCUGUCCUGGGAGGAGCAGCUGAUGGUGAGCAGGAGCCUCUGUCCUGGGAGGAGCAGAUGAUGGUGAGCAGGAGCCUCUGUCCUGGGAGGAGCAGCUGAUGGUGAGCAGGAGCCUCUGUCCAGGGAGGAGAAGCUGAUGAGACUCCCAAGCCUCUGCAGCUUAGGAUGGUACAUAAAUCUCAACCAUCUGGCCCUUCUUCAAGUCUCAUAUUUUGGUCCACAUUCCUGUACUGUGUGCACAGGAGUAAGACUUCCCAGGCAGGGCCUGUCACCCGCUCUCCCUCCAAGAGGACGCUUCAUCUUCUUUCCUUCAUUCUUCAUGAUGCCCUUCCGUGUAAGUCUACCCUCAGUAAGGACCCUCUCUUACCCACGUCUCUGCACUGACAGGGAGCAUCAGCAUUCUGGUCUGGCACUGUGUCCUGUGAAUUAGGAUGUUUGCAGAAUUCCGAAGGCUAAUUUUCCUCAGUUCAAGAGACCAAGGAGACUGUAACUGGGCCAAUUGUUGCAUUUGUGCGCCUAGAUUCCUUACUUCAUAAUAAAGAAACUUAUUCUUUCAAGCCACUGCUGUUCAAAGUACGUCCAUAAACUGGCAGUCCUGUCUGGCCUCGCCUGAGAGCUUGUUAGAAAGGUCAAGAUUUCAAGCUUCACUCACACCUGCAGAAUUUGCAUUCCAACACGCUCAGGGCGGACCGUGUGCAUGCUGCAGCUUAGUCUGACCUAAACACCCAGGCGAAACCACGUUUCUGACAGUGGGACUGAGAAGGAAGACGUGGUCUGUCUCCGUUUUGGUGAUGUAGGCUGGUUUGCUUGGUGGAGUGCCGUGGUUCCCCGGUAUAGCUCAGGCUGGCCUCAAGCUUGCAUUCCUGCUUCCACACUCUUGGCAUUUCCGUCAGGUAAUUCUUUGCUCAGUGAGGUCGUGCUAGGCACUGCAGGAUGUUCGGAGCCUCUCCGACCUUCUCCACUCCAUACUUGAAACACCAGGGCUCACCUGCCACAUUUAAGUCAUGAGAGCCAAAACUGUCUCCAGAUGUUGCUAGUGGCCCACGUGGGGCCAAAUCACUCACCCAUUGCCUGGUU